rnacentral:rRNA from 1 species
GUCUACAGCCAUGCCACCCUGAACACCCCCGAUCCUAUCUGAUCUUGGAAGCUAAGCAGGGUCGGGACUGGUUAGUACUUGGAUGGGAGACCACCUAGGAAGACCAGGUACUGUAGGUA